rnacentral:rRNA from 1 species
GACGAACGCUGGCGGCGUGCUUAACACAUGCAAGUCGAACGGAAAGGCCCUGCUUUUGUGGGGUGCUCGAGUGGCGAACAGGUGUGUAACACGUGAGUAACCUGCCCUUGACUUUGGGAUAACUUCAGGAAACUGGGGCUAAUACCGGAUAGGAGCUCCUGCUGCAUGGUGGGGGUUGGAAAGUUUCGGCGGUUGGGGAUGGACUCGCGGCUUAUCAGCUUGUUGGUGGGGUAGUGGCUUACCAAGGCUUUGACGGGUAGCCGGACUGAGAGGGUGACCGGCCACAUUGGGACUGAGGUACGGGCCAGACUCCUACGGGAGGCAGCAGUGGGGAAUAUUGCACAAUGGGCGGAAGCCUGAUGCAGCAACGCCGCGUGCGGGAUGACGGCCUUCGGGUUGUAAACCGCGUUCGCCUGUGACGAAGCGUGAGUGACGGUAAUGGGUAAAGAAGCACCGGCUAACUACGUG